CUGAGCUGGUGAUGAUACAAAGUUAUCCCUGUCUGAAAAGGAAACUCUGCUUGUGGAGUUGUGGAAUCUGAAAGCUCAG
ensembl:snoRNA